UCUUUGACUUCUCCCCAGGUGCCACGUCUGAGGACUUGUAAGUAGAAUAAAUGAAUCCACUGUAAUUACCAGAUUAAUUACAAAAUGGCCAUUUUACUAAAGAAAUAGAGAAGACCCUAUGGAAUUUCUGGGAAACUACCUAAGAACAGACUCCCCACUAAAGGAAAGAGUACCUAUUUCAAGAUCCAAUACUAUUUGCAUUUUACUGGUACAUGUGGGUGUGGUUCAAAGGCUUCAGUCAGGUGGCUUUCAAAUGUGCUCAUUUAUUUUUUUUUUCUGACAACUGUAGCCACUCUAAUGUGUUGCAUUCACAUCGUGUCCUUCAUCCGCCAUCUCAAAUGUUCUUCCUUUCUGAUUCCUGAGUGCUGUUUGUCAAAGUUGCUUUGGUUCUGUUUGCCCUUCAGGGAUGGUUCCUCUGUGCCUACGCCUGAGACUUGUCUCUCCUGAAAACUCACUAUGAAGGUGGACUUGAAGGAUGGUAGAAUGCAGCCUUUAGCCUGAGACCCAUCGCUAGGUUUCUGACAACUUUGAAGAUUGUGACAUCAGAUUAGAUGAAAAACUUCUGGACUGAUGGAGAGCUGAAAUGUUCAUGAAUAUCAAGCAGAACAGGAAUUAACUGCACGGAUUGAGGUAAAAGAAAACUGAAGCAAUUUUUUUGACUUUUCUUAAAAUGUUGCUGAUCCUUUUUUCAGAGUCAAGGAAACUUUUAUUGACAGCUUUUAACAAUUAUACUCCUAUGAAAAAAAAAUUGAAGCAUAUUUGUUUCUCUCUACCUGAUUUCUCCAGAAUUUGGUAACUAUUUGUGAGCAUUCUUAACUGAUGGCAAUAUAGUUAUUUGUGUAAGUGCAACAGGAAUCUUUUCACUUGUAAAUGAAAUAGGACACAAUUGGAGAAACUGGUUAUUUUAACAAGGCUUUGACUGGAAUGGUGUACUUUCCUGUAAGGAAUCAAACUUGACUUAUAGAGCCAAUAAAAUUGCCUUUGGGAAAUCUGGCCUCAUAUCUUGUCUGCACAGUCCCUGUAGAGGGUUCCUGGCCUGUGGUAGGUAAAGAAUGUCACUUUCUGAUAGGCCUAGGAGCCCCAAGUUAUCUUGGGACCUCAAGAAGAGAAGAAUUCAUCCAACUCAUGGAUUUGAUGGUACAAAUCCAUGGCUGGGAUUGGCCUUAAAAAGUCUUAUCUGAGAUUCCAUGAAAAAAAGUUCCAUCAAAGCCAAUUUUAAAAGCCUAUAUAAAAAAUAAUU